ACUCCUGCGGGAGGCAGCAGUAGGGAAUCUUCCACAAUGGGUGCAAACCUGAUGGAGCAAUGCCGCGUGAGUGAAGAAGGUCUUCGGAUCGUAAAGCUCUGUUGUUAGAGAAGAACACGUGCUAGGUAACUACUAGCGCCUUGACGGUAUCUAACCAGAAAGUCACGGCUAACUACGUGCCAGCAGCCGCGGUAAUACGUAGGUGACAAGCGUUGUCCGGAUUUAUUGGGCGUAAAGGGAGCGCAGGCGGUCUGUUUAGUCUAAUGGGAAAGCCCACGGCUUAACCGUGGAACGGCAUUGGAAACGGACAGACUGGAAUGUAGAAGAGGAAAAUGGAAUUCCAAGUGUAGCGGUGGAAUGCGUAGAUAUUUGGAGGAACACCAGUGGCGAAGGCGAUUUUCUGGUCUAACAUUGACGCUGAGGCUCGAAAGCGUGGGGAGCGAACAGGAUUAGAUACCCUUGUAGUCCCAU
rnacentral:rRNA from 1 species